ensembl:processed_transcript
GUUUGGUGGGCGGGGCCGUGGCGGGCUCAAAUGGCGGCGGCGCUGGGCACCUAGGCCGGCGGGGGCCAUGAGCGCCGCCCGGCCCCAGUUUAGCAUCGAUGAUGCCUUCGAGCUGACCCUGGAGGACGCGGGGCCUGGGCCCGAGUCCAGCGGGGUCGCCCGCUUCGGGCCGCUGCACUUCGAACGCCGGGCUCGGUUCGAGGUGGCUGAUGAAGACAAGCAGUCCCGGCUACGCUACCAGAACCUGGAAAAUGAUGAGGACGGAGCCCAGGCCUCUCCGGAGCCGGAUGGGGAAGUCAGCACCAGGGAUUCUGGGCACAUGUCUGUCCGCAGCUCGCAGUGGUCCUUCAGCACCAUCAGCAGCAGCACUCAGCGCUCCUACAACGCCUGCUGCAGCUGGACCCAACAUCCUUUGAUCCAGAAAAACCGCCGGGUAGUGCUGGCCUCCUUCCUGCUUCUGCUGUUGGGGCUAGUGCUUAUCCUGGUCGGCGUGGGACUGGAGGUGGCCCCCUCUCCAGGUGUCUCCAGUGCCAUCUUCUUUGUGCCGGGCAUCCUGCUGUUAGUCCCAGGAGUCUACCAUGUGAUCUUCAUCUACUGUGCUGUCAAGGGCCGCCGGGGCUUCCAAUUCUUCUACCUGCCCUACUUUGAGAAGUGAGCUGCAACUGGCCAGUGGCUCACCAGUGAUCCAAGGCCUCAGGUCACCUCCACGUGUCCACAGGGUAUUCCUCCAACCUACACCUGGUUCUGUUCCUUUCAUCUGGAAGGCAGAGACCCCCUAGGACCCUCACAACCACCAGGCCCCUUUGAAUUUGCUCAGGAAGUUUGGAGCAGGCCAGCCUGAGGAUAUUGCCUCUUACCUGAUGUGUGCCUUAACUUAUUCCUAGGUUCUGGACUCCUGGGUUGGUGUAAUUUUGUGCUAAUAAAAGAGUAAUUACUUCC